AUGGCUCAGUGAGGCCUUGGGACUGGCUCAGAGAGGUCGGCAACGACCACUCAGAGCCGGAAACUUGGUCAAACUUGGUCAUUUAGAGGAAGUAAAAGUCGUAACAAGGUUUCCGUAGGUGAGUAAUCAGAACCUUCCUGCCACAUCUCGUGUGACCGAUGCUAACAUUUCUCUAGGUGAACCUGCGGAAGGAUCAUUAACGAGUUAGGGUCUCUCCAGGCCCGACCUCCCAACCCUAUGUUUACUGAACCUUCGUUGCUUCGGCGGACCCGCCUCUGGGCCGCCGGAGGACCGCCUCACGGCGUCCUCUGGCCCGCGUCCGUCGACGGCCAACCUCAAAACGCUGAAAUAACCGUGCUGUGUGUCUCAGUCCCAUGAUUAAAUUAAAGCAAAACUUUCAACAACGGAUCUCUUGGUUCUGGCAUCGAUGAAGAACGCAGCGAAAUGCGAUAAGUAAUGCGAAUUGCAGAAUUCCAGUGAGUCAUCGAAUCUUUGAACGCACAUUGCGCCCUUUGGCAUUCCGAAGGGCAUGCCUGUUCGAGCGUCAUUAUCACCCCUCGGGCCCUGUGCUCGAUGUUGGACGGCCGGUUGGGCAACCGACCCCUCCUAAAGACAAUGACGGCGGCCUGUGGCGCCCCCGGUACACUGAGCUUUUCACGGAGCACGUACCGGACGAGGGCGCCCGGGACCCGGUCCUCUCCUUUCAGUAGGAAACUUCUCAAGGUUGACCUCGGAUCAGGUAGGAAUACGCGCUGAACUUAAGCAUAUCAAUAAGCGCAGGAAAAGAAACCAACAGGGAUUACCUCAGUAACGGCGAGUGAAGCGGUAAUAGCUCAAAUUUGAAAUCUGGCCUUUCGGGGUCCGAGUUGUAAUUUGUAGAGGAUGUUUUGGGUACCGCCCCGGUCUAAAUUUCUUGGAACAGAAUGUCAUAGAGGGUGAGAAUCCCGUCUUGGACCGGCGGUAGGGCCUGUGUAAAACUCCUUCGACGAGUCGAGUUGUUUGGGAAUGCAGCUCAAAAUGGGUGGUAAAUUUCAUCUAAAGCUAAAUAUUGGCCAGAGACCGAUAGCGCACAAGUAGAGUGAUCGAAAGAUGAAAAGCACUUUGAAAAGAGAGUUAAACAGUAUGUGAAAUUGUUGAAAGGGAAGCGCUUGCAACCAGACUUGAGCGCGGCGGUUCCCCCGGCCUUUUGGCCGGGCUACUCCGCCGUGUCCAGGCCAACAUCGGUUCUGAGGGUCGGUCAAAGGCCCCGGGAAUGUAUCUACCCACGGGUAGACUUAUAGACCGGGGUGUCAUGCGGCCUCUCGGGACCGAGGAACGCGCUUCGGCUCGGAUGUUGGCGUAAUGGUUGUCAGCGACCCGUCUUGAAACACGGACCAAGGAGUCUAACAUCUAUGCGAGUGUUUGGGUGUCAAACCCGGAACGCGGAAUGAAAGUGAACGGAGGUAGGAAGCUUCGGCUGCACUAUCGACCGAUCCUGAAGUUUACGGAAGGAUUUGAGUAAGAGCAUAGCUGUUGGGACCCGAAAGAUGGUGAACUAUGCCUGAAUAGGGUGAAGCCAGAGGAAACUCUGGUGGAGGCUCGCAGCGGUUCUGACGUGCAAAUCGAUCGUCAAAUUUGGGUAUAGGGGCGAAAGACUAAUCGAACCAUUAAGUUACCGGUGGUUGAGUGUAACCAUGAAAGUGGGUGCAAGUGCCUGGUUCUGGCGCGACACUAUCAAAUUGCGGGGACUCCCUAAAGCUUUAACGACCGCCCCGCGUAUGAAAAUACGGCGCGGGCACCAGGUUAACGACCUCGGGUAUGGUAACACUGUUAAAGAUGCGACAAUGGGUAAUCUGCAGCCAAGUUCUAAGGGCCUGUCGGCCUAUGGACGCAGUUCACAGACUAGAUGGUAGUGGGCUCUUCGCGGGCUUAAGACAUAGUCGGUCCCCCAGGGAAACCUGGGCACACACGCUAAAUCCGGGGGGAAGACUCUGCCUAGGCAGUUCCUCCAGACCUGAACGGUGUGGGCGCCCUCGGG
rnacentral:rRNA from 1 species